rnacentral:rRNA from 1 species
AACGAACGCUGGCGGCAUGCCUAACACAUGCAAGUCGAACGAGACCUUCGGGUCUAGUGGCGCACGGGUGCGUAACGCGUGGGAAUCUGCCCUUGGGUUCGGAAUAACAGUUGGAAACGACUGCUAAUACCGGAUGAUGACGUAAGUCCAAAGAUUUAUCGCCCAGGGAUGAGCCCGCGUAGGAUUAGCUAGUUGGUGGGGUAAAGGCCUACCAAGGCGACGAUCCUUAGCUGGUCUGAGAGGAUGAUCAGCCACACUGGGACUGAGACACGGCCCAGACUCCUACGGGAGGCAGCAGUGGGGAAUAUUGGACAAUGGGCGAAAGCCUGAUCCAGCAAUGCCGCGUGAGUGAUGAAGGCCUUAGGGUUGUAAAGCUCUUUCAGCAGGGAAGAAGCGAAAGUGACGGUACCUGCAGAAGAAGCACCGGCUAACUACGUG